CGCCGGUCAGGGCAAGAAGGGGCCUCCGGCUCCAAAGCUGCCGUCCAACUUCAAGACGAUCCACCCGGGGCGGUUCGGGAAGAGGAACCAGGUGCUCUCCUGCGACGACACCAAGGACGGGAACAGCCCCUGCGUCGCCACCUGCGACAAGCGCUGCCCCAACGAGUGCAUCGUCAUGUGCCCAGGCUGCAAGACCUACUGCAGUAAGCACACCUACUCCAAUAUCCUUGUUGUUAAAUCCCGUAGCUAUAUGAUCUGCCGACCCACAUCAACUUAGAAUGAGAUGCCUAAAGAAAUUGCAUUGUUUUUUUCAAGUGUGCGACUUCUACCCCGGCGUGUCCUGCGGUGACCCCCGCUUCACCGGCGCCGACGGCAACAACUUCUACUUCCACGGCAAGAAGGACCAGAGCUUCUGCGUCGUCUCCGACACCGAC
rnacentral:lncRNA from 1 species